rnacentral:rRNA from 1 species
UACGUAGGGGGCCAGCGUUAUUCGGAAUUACUGGGUGUAAAGGGUGCGUAGGCGGGUACUUAAGUCAGAUGUGAAAGCUAUGGGCUUAACUCGUAGAUUGCAUUUGAAACUGGGUAUCUUGAGUGCAGGAGAGGGAAGCGGAAUUCCUAGUGUAGCGGUGAAAUGCGUAGAGAUUAGGAGGAACACCAGUGGCGAAGGCGGCUUCCUGGACUGUAACUGACGCUGAGGCACGAAAGCGUGGGGAGCAAACAGG